UCAUUCUCCAAUUGAAUUGCCCUUAUUGGGAAGCCUUGAUAUUUCUGUUUGGAUUCUCUCAUGCUGAUCAUUUGCCUGAACCCGGGACAGAGAUUGAGUCUACAAAGCCGGUUGCAGGUAUAAAGGGCAAUGAACAGGAUGAAAAAUGUUUCUGGAGUUAAGCUGGUGAUCUUGCAGCUCCAGAAUGGACAGAAAACAUGGGAAAUAUGUUGUGAAUAUUGAACCCUCUGGAAACCAGCCGCCAUUUCUGAACCCAAGAAACCAUGAAGCUCGUAGUUCAGCAUGUUGGUUUCCAACAUCAACUGAUGCAACUGGUGAUGUUGGUGUGAAUUUAACUGGUGUCUGCACAAACACAGGG
rnacentral:lncRNA from 1 species